rnacentral:rRNA from 1 species
GACGAACGCUGGCGGCGUGCUUAACACAUGCAAGUCGUACGGUAAGGCCCUUUCGGGGGUACACGAGUGGCGAACGGGUGAGUAACACGUGAGUAACCUGCCCACAACUUUGGGAUAACGCUAGGAAACUGGUGCUAAUACUGGCUAUGUUCUCCUGCUGCAUGGUGGGGGUUGGAAAGCUCCGGCGGUUGUGGAUGGACUCGCGGCCUAUCAGCUUGUUGGUGGGGUAGUGGCCUACCAAGGCGGCGACGGGUAGCCGGCCUGAGAGGGUGACCGGCCACAUUGGGACUGAGAGACGGCCCAGACUCCUACGGGAGGCAGCAGGGGGGAAGAUUGCACAAUGGGCGCAAGCCGGAUGCAGCAACGCCGCGUGCGGGAUGACGGCCUUCGGGUUGUAAACCGCUUUCAGCAGGGACGAAGCUUUUUGUGACGGUACCUGCAGAAGAAGCACCGGCUAACUACGUG